AUGUAUUUUUAGUACUGGCACUGGCAGUGAAUAUCGGAACGCAGCUUUUGUCUAACUUAUUUUUUCUCUUAUCAUAUUCGUGCUUAAAUUCUCGGUCUUGAUCUAUUUAUAUACACAUUAUAUCGUUCAAUCGAUUUGUCUAACCGAACAAAAAUAGGAAGUACUAACCUUCAAAUGAUACGUGUCAAAAUUUCAUGACAAUCGGACGUUUAGUUCACAAGUUACAAUGGUUCGAAGUGGGUACCGCGUUUGCUCACAGUCAAUCAAAAACAGCAACGCGUCGACGAUUCAGCGGGAUUUGGAGCUGUUUUAGCGCAAUAAAAAGGAUUUUUUGAUGCGGUAUGUGACAAUGGAUGAAACAUGGAUCCAUCACUACACUCCAGAGUCAAAUUGGCAGUCAGCUGAGUGGA